AGAGUUUGAUUAUGGCUCAGGAUGAACGCUGGCGGCGUGCUUAACACAUGCAAGUCGAGCGAAGCACUUAUGAUGAUUCUUCGGAUGAAUCAUUUGUGACUGAGCGGCGGACGGGUGAGUAACGCGUGAGUAACCUGCCUCAUACAGGGGAAUAACAGUUAGAAAUGACUGCUAAUGCCGCAUAAGCGCACAGGGCCGCAUGGCCCGGUGUGAAAAACUCCGGUGGUAUGAGAUGGACUCGCGUCUGAUUAGCUAGUUGGCAGGGUAACGGCCUACCAAGGCGACGAUCAGUAGCCGGCCUGAGAGGGUGAACGGCCACAUUGGGACUGAGACACGGCCCAA
rnacentral:rRNA from 1 species